rnacentral:rRNA from 1 species
AAAUAAAAAGACCAAUCCUCACGGAUCGGUUAUUUCAAUGAGUUGAGCUUAAAUAGCUCUUCGAGGAUCUAGUGGAGGGCAGUCUGGUGCCAGCAGCCGCGGAAUUCCAGCUCCACUAGUGUAAAUCGUCAUUGCUGCGGUUAAAAAGCUCGUAGUUGGAUCUGAGUUGCAUGCGUUGGUCCUCUCUGAGGUUAAUCUUCGCUGCAACUAUUUUGCUGGUUUUCUGCAGAUAGCUUCGGCUUCUGUAGUGGCUAGCGAGAUUACUUUGAAUAAAACAGAGUGUUCAAAACAAGCGAUUGCUUGAAUGCUCGAUCAUGGAAUAAUGGAAUAGGACCUCGGUUCUAUUUAUUGGUUCAAGAAUUGAGGUAAUGAUUAAGAGAGACAAUUCGGGGCAUUCGUAUCCCUGCGCGAGAGGUGAAAUUCGUGGACCGCAGGGGACGCCCAAAAGCGAAAGCAUUUGCCAAGAAUGUCUUCAUUAAUCAAGAACGAAAGUCAGAGGUUCGAAGGCGAUUAGAUACCGCCCUAGUUCUGACCGUAAACUAUGCCAUCUAGCGAUCCGGUGGGGUUAUUCGCCUCGCCGGGGAGCUUCCCGGAAACGAAGUCUUUCGGUUCCGGGGGUAGUAUGGUUGCAAAGCUGAACUUAAAGAAAUUGACGGAAGGGCACCACCAGGAGUGGAGCCUGCGGCUUAAUUUGACUCAACACGGGAAAACUCACCCGGCCCGGACACCGUUAGGAUUGCAGAUUGAAAGCUCUUUCUCGAUUUGGUGGUUGGUGGUGCAUGGCCGUUCUUAGUUGGUGGAGCGAUUUGUCUGGUUUAUUCCGAUAACGAGCGAGACUCUAACCUACUAAAUAGUUUCACGAUUUUCGGGUCGUGUGAACUUCUUAGAGGGAUAAGCGGUGUUUAACCGCACGAGAU